GAGUUUGAUCCUGGCUCAGGAUGAACGCUAGCGGCAGGCUUAAUACAUGCAAGUCGAGGGGCAGCACGAAUAGCAAUAUUCGGUGGCGACCGGCAAACGGGUGCGGAACACGUACAGAACCUUCCUUUAAGUGGGGAAUAGCCCAGAGAAAUUUGGAUUAAUACCCCGUAACAUUAUAGAGUGGCAUCACUUUUUAAUUAUAGAUUUAUCGCUUAGAGAUGGCUGUGCGGCUGAUUAGGUAGUUGGCGGGGUAACGGCCCACCAAGCCUGCGAUCAGUAACUGGUGUGAGAGCACGACCAGUCACACGGGCACUGAGACACGGGCCCGACUCCUACGGGAGGCAGCAGUAAGGAAUAUUGGUCAAUGGACGAAAGUCUGAACCAGCCAUGCCGCGUGAAGGAUGAAGGUCCUCUGGAUUGUAAACUUCUUUUAUCUGGGACGAAACACUUAUAUUCUUAUAAGCUUGACGGUACCAGAGGAAUAAGCACCGGCUAACUCCGUGCCAGCAGCCGCGGUAAUACGGAGGGUGCAAGCGUUAUCCGGAUUCACUGGGUUUAAAGGGUGCGUAGGUGGGUCUGUAAGUCAGUGGUGAAAUCUCCGAGCUUAACUCGGAAACUGCCAUUGAUACUAUAGGUCUUGAAUUUUCUGGAGGUAAGCGGAAUAUGUCAUGUAGCGGUGAAAUGCUUAGAUAUGACAUAGAACACCAAUUGCGAAGGCAGCUUACUACAGGAACAUUGACACUGAGGCACGAAAGCGUGGGGAUCAAACAGGAUUAGAUACCCCGGUAGUCCACGCCCUAAACGAUGGAUACUCGACAUUUGCGAUA
rnacentral:rRNA from 1 species